rnacentral:rRNA from 1 species
AUUGAACGCUGGCGGCAGGCCUAACACAUGCAAGUCGAGCGAGCGGCGGACGGGUGAGUAAUGCCGGGGAAGUGCCCAGUCGAGGGAGAAAACAGGGGGAAAGGAGUGCUAAUACCGCAAAAGAUGGGAUUGCCCAGGGGGGAUGAGCUCGUUGGUGGGGUAAUGGCUCACCAAGGCGACGAUCCCUAGCUGGUCUGAGAGGAUGAUCAGCCACACUGGAACUGAGACACGGUCCAGACUCCUACGGGAGGCAGCAGUGGGGAAUAUUGCACAAUGGGGGAAACCCUGAUGCAGCCAUGCCGCGUGUGUGAAGAAGGCCUUCGGGUUGUAAAGCACUUUCAGCGAGGAGGCGUUACUCGCAGAAGAAGCACCGGCUAACUCCGUGCCAGCCGCCGCGGUAAUAC